CAGUAGCCGCGGGAAUACGUAGGGGGCAAGCGUUGUCCGGAAUUAUUGGGCGUAAAGCGCGCGCAGGCGGUUUUUUAAGUCUGGUGUCUAAGUGCGGGGCUCAACCCCGUGACGCACUGGAAACUGGGAGACUUGAGUGCAGAAGAGGAGAGCGGAAUUCCGCGUGUAGCGGUGAAAUGCGUAGAGAUGUGGAGGAACACCAGUGGCGAAGGCGACUCUCUGGUCUGUAACUGACGCUGAGGAGCGAAAGCGUGGGGAGCGAACAGGAUUAGAUACCCGUGUAGUCCCUGUCUCUUAUACA
rnacentral:rRNA from 1 species